rnacentral:rRNA from 1 species
UACCCGCGGCCCGAGUGGUGGUCGAUAUUAUUGAGCCUAAAACGUCCGUAGCCGGUCUCGUAAAUCCCUGGGUAAAUCGGCCAGCUUAACUGUCCGAAUUCCGGGGAGACUGCGGGACUUGGGACCGGGAGAGGUCAGAGGUACUUCCGGGGUAGGGGUAAAAUCCUGUAAUCCUGGAAGGACCACCGGUGGCGAAGGCGUCUGACUAGAACGGAUCCGACGGUGAGGGACGAAGCCCCGGGGCGCAAACGGG